rnacentral:lncRNA from 1 species
CUUAUAAUUGAAAUCCUAUUUUUAUUAAACAUUAGAAAGUACCAGACCUUAUGUGUAUCUUGUAAGACGUAGAAAACCUUCACAGAAAUAUAAUAUUGGACCACUAAACCUCUUCGAAAAAAUAAAACCUCAGCCUUGCUUUUUCGUAACCCACCAUUGGUAUCCCCCCUCCAUAAUUGUUGGACUUCUUGAGCCAAACUCCCUAACUCCCUUGUUUGAAAAAAU